AGAAAAAUUUUAACUCCCAAGGCUGAAAGAGGAAAAGCUUUCAGCUACUCAAUAUUCAGUACACAAUUUGCUGGUUUGCCGUAGAUAGCCGCCAAUAUGUUGAGGAAAGCAUCCUUGCAUUCUGAGAGAGCUGCACCUGGAUCCCUUUAAAAUUUGGAGAGACUCCUAACUUCCAAGAGAAGCACUUUCUAACCUGGCUGCGAGUUGUGUGCCUCGGGACAUGGGAGCUAACAUCGGAAUGCAGUCCAUCUUCCUUUUCCAAGAACUGCCUGUCAUCAUGGAAAGAUUAACAACCAUGUGGUCAAAAUAAUCUGAUCCCGGAGGUGCCUACUCUUUGCCCGCCUUUUACUACCCGCACCUGCAUUGCCUAUAACCUGUAACCACCCUGCCUACUUCCCCAUGCCUACAAUUCCCACUUUUCCAUGUAAUCUUCGUCCUUCUACCCAAUGUAAGCAGCUGGUUUAUGGGGAAGGGUAGAGCAGAUUUUUGUGGAUGACCUACUGCU